rnacentral:rRNA from 1 species
UGGGGAAUAUUGCACAAUGGGCGCAAGCCUGAUGCAGCCAUGCCGCGUGUAUGAAGAAGGCCUUCGGGUUGUAAAGUACUUUCAGCGGGGAGGAAGGCGAUAAGGUUAAUAACCUUGUCGAUUGACGUUACCCGCAGAAGACGCACCGGCUAACUCCGUGCCAGCAGCCGCGGUAAUACGGAGGGGGCAAGCGUUAAUCGGAAUUACUGGGCGUAAAGCGCACGCAGGCGGUCUGUCAAGUCGGAUGUGAAAUCCCCGGGCUCAACCUGGGAACUGCAUUCGAAACUGGCAGGCUAGAGUCUUGUAGAGGGGGGUAGAAUUCCAGGUGUAGCGGUGAAAUGCGUAGAGAUCUGGAGGAAUACCGGUGGCGAAGGCGGCCCCCUGGACAAAGACUGACGCUCAGGUGCGAAAGCGUGGGGAGCAAACA